UGGGGAAUAUUGGACAAUGGGCGAAAGCCUGAUCCAGCCAUGCCGCGUGUGUGAAGAAGGUCUUCGGAUUGUAAAGCACUUUAAGUUGGGAGGAAGGGCAGUAAAUUAAUACUUUGCUGUUUUGACGUUACCGACAGAAUAAGCACCGGCUAACUCUGUGCCAGCAGCCGCGGUAAUACAGAGGGUGCAAGCGUUAAUCGGAAUUACUGGGCGUAAAGCGCGCGUAGGUGGUUCGUUAAGUUGGAUGUGAAAUCCCCGGGCUCAACCUGGGAACUGCAUUCAAAACUGACGAGCUAGAGUAUGGUAGAGGGUGGUGGAAUUUCCUGUGUAGCGGUGAAAUGCGUAGAUAUAGGAAGGAACACCAGUGGCGAAGGCGACCACCUGGACUGAUACUGACACUGAGGUGCGAAAGCGUGGGGGAGCAAAA
rnacentral:rRNA from 1 species